rnacentral:rRNA from 1 species
UACUAGAGUAGCACUCGCAUAUCAAUAAGCGGAGGAAAAGAAACUAACAAGGAUUCCCCUAGUAACGGCGAGUGAAGCGGGAAGAGCUCAAAUUUGAAAUCUUAAAGGGUUUCCCUUUACGAAUUGUAGUUUAAAGAAGUGUUUUCUGUUGAGGUUUUGGUAAAAGUUCUUUGGAAUAGGACAUCAUAGAGGGUGAGAAUCCCGUAUUUGACCUUUACUUUCAACUUUGUGAUACACUUUCAAAGAGUCGGAUUGUUUGGGAAUGCAGGUCCAAAAUGGGUGGUAAAUUUCAUCUAAAGCUAAAUAUUGGCGAGAGACCGAUAGCGAACAAGUACCGUGAGGGAAAGAUGAAAAGAACUUUGAAAAGAGAGUUAAACAGUACGUGAAAUUGUCAAAAGGGAAGCGUUUGACACCAGUGUUGUUUUUCUGAAAAUCAAUUAAAGAACUGUUUAUGCUAAGCUGUUUAGACUUUAUCAGCUAAUCUGUUUAGUUUUGAGCUUUCCUUUAAUGCACUUUUCAGUUAACAAGUCAACAUCAAUUUCUUUUGCUGUAAAAAAGCUUGAGGAAGGUGGCUUGAGAUUCGUCUUAAGUGUUUAUAGCCUCUUGCCUAUGCAGUCGGAGAGAUUGAGGUCUGCAGCGUAGAUCCUUCGGGGCUAAAUGCAUUUGUGCUAAGUUAUAGCAUUUUAUAGACAACUUGUUGACUAUGAUUUGUCUUGUAGCUUACUCGCUUAUGUUAUUUUACCUACGCUUAGGAUGUUGAUCUCUCACAGUCGAGC